UACGGAGGGUGCAAGCGUUAUCCGGAUUUACUGGGUUUAAAGGGUGUGUAGGCGGGCUAUUAAGUCAGUGGUGAAAUCUCCGGGCUCAACCCGGAAACUGCCAUUGAUACUAUUAGUCUUGAAUUUUGUUGAGGUAGGCGGAAUAAGUCAUGUAGCGGUGAAAUGCAUAGAUAUGACUUAGAACACCAAUUGCGAAGGCAGCUUACUAAGCAAAUAUUGACGCUGAGGCACGAAAGCGUGGGGAGCGAUCCGG
rnacentral:rRNA from 1 species